AUUGAACGCUGGCGGCAUGCCUUACACAUGCAAGUCGAACGGCAGCGCGGACUUCGGUCUGGCGGCGAGUGGCGAACGGGUGAGUAAUACAUCGGAACGUACCCUGUUGUGGGGGAUAACUAGUCGAAAGAUUAGCUAAUACCGCAUACGACCUGAGGGUGAAAGUGGGGGACCGCAAGGCCUCACGCAGCAGGAGCGGCCGAUGUGUGAGUUAGCUAGUGGGUGGGGUAACGGCCCACAAAGGCGACAAUCAGUAGCUGGUCUGAGAGGACGAUCAGCCACACUGGGACGUAGACACGGCCCGGACUCCUACGGGAGGCAGCAGUGGGUAAUUUUGGACAAUGGGGGCAACCCUGAUCCAGCAAUGCCGCGUGUGUGAAGAAGGCCUUCGGGUUGUAAAGCACUUUUGUCAGGGAAGAAACGGUUCUGGAUAAUACCUGGGACUAAUGACGGUACCUGAAGAAUAAGCACCGGCUAACUACGUGCCAGCCGCCGCCGAAA
rnacentral:rRNA from 1 species